AGUGAACGCUGGCGGCGUGCCUAAUACAUGCCAGUCGAACGAACGAAUAAGAGCUUGCUCUUAUAAGUUAGUGGCGCACGGGUGAGUAAUAUAUAGCUAAUCUGCCUCUUAGUAGAGGAUAACAGUCGGAAACGAUUGCUAAUACUCUAUACUUCUGCUUUACAUAAGUAAAGUAGAGAAAGUUUUUCGCUAAGAGAUGAGGCUAUACUGUAUCAGCUAGUUGGUAAGGUAACGGCUUACCAAGGCUAUGACGCAUAACUGGUCUGAGAGGAUGAUCAGUCACAUUGGAACUGAGACACGGUCCAAACUCCUACGGGAGGCAGCAGUAGGGAAUAUUGCGCAAUGGGGGAAACCCUGACGCAGCAACGCCGCGUGGAGGAUGACACUUUUCGGAGCGUAAACUCCUUUUAUCGGGAAAGAAUAAUGACGGUACCCGAUGAAUAAGCACCGGCUAACUCCGUG
rnacentral:rRNA from 1 species